GCCUCUUUCCUCUCCCGACCCUGACGUGGUUCACUUUGAGUAUCGCGGCGCCGCCGUGCUCGCGAUUAACCCAGCCGUCGCAGCUGCAGUCUCCGCCGCCGCCAUGGCGGCUCGUGCGCUGCUCUCCCGCCUCCGCUUCGCUCCUCUCAGCCACCACCACCACCGCCACCUCGGCCGCGCUCUCUCCGCCGCCGCCACCGCCGAUCCACCACCCGACGAGUCGCCCCCUCCUCCUCCGCAUCCUCCACCGCCACCGACGCCGCCCUCCAACUCGAAGCUCUUCGUCGCCGGGUUGUCGUGGUCCGCGGACGAGCGGUCGCUGACGGACGCCUUCUCCUCCUUCGGCACCGUCACCGAAGAUGGUGUGCGCGGUAGGUGUUCGAUGAAACGGCUCGGAGGAGGAAGUGGGUGUUCCGCUCGCGCGCGACCUCGCCAAAUGUUCGAUGAAAUGCCUGUUAGGGAUUUGGUCGCAUGCUCGGCUGCAAUCUACCGGCAUGCGAAGAGCGGGUUGUUUGGCGAGGCUGUCAGGCUGUUUGUUGGUAUGAUGAGGGUGGGGGUGAGCCCCAACUCGUUCACAUUGGUUGGUGCUUUAAUAGCAGCUGCUGGGAUGGGCAACUUGGUGCUUGCUGAGUGCAUCCAUGGGUGGGCUAUGAAGAGCCUGUUGGAAUCCAAUCCUUUUGUUCGGACCGCAUUGCUUGAUUCCUAUGCGAAAUGUGGACGUCCUACGAAGGCCUGGGCAUUGUUUGGUGAAAUGAGGGAUCCUGGUAUAGUUACUUGGAAUGCAUUGAUUUCUGGUCUAGUGCACAACGAUCUGUUUGAGGAAGCAUUGCUGGUUUUCAAGAGGUUGCUGUUUUCAUUUGGACCAGUUCAUAAUGUUGUGACUAUGAUUAGCAUUGCUCAGGCUUCUGCUGGUUGUGGUGACCUUGGAUUGUGUGAGAGUGCACAUGCUUAUUCAGUCAAGAUUGGGCUUGAUUCAGAUGUCUCAGUGACAAACUCAAUCUUGGGUAUGUACUUGAGCUUUGGUAGUCUUGCGAUUGGAAGAGAGAUUUUCAAAAAGAUCGCUGUUAAUGAUGUUGUUUCUUGGACGAUGAUGAUGGGUUUCCUUCUUGAGGAAGCCCAGGCUAUUGAAGUUAUACAUAUGUUUGUUCAGAUGAGGUUGAGUGGCAUAGUGCCUGAUAGGGUAGCAUUGGUUACAGUGGCGCAAGCUUGUGCACAUCUGGGUGAUGGAAGGAUAGGAAAGUUGGUUCAUAACGAGAUUGUAAUCUGUGGGUUCAGUGGUGAGCUUCCUGCAGUUAACUCGUUAAUCACAAUGUAUUCUAAAUGUGAGGAUUUAAGUUCUGCAAGACUGUUGUUUGAUGGUACAAUGGAGAAAAGCUUGGUUUCAUGGACGGCAAUGGUGUCAGCGUAUAUAGAAAAUGGAUAUGCCCUAGAAGGGAUGUAUCUCUUUGCGAAGAUGAGGCAUGAAGGUUCCUUUAUGAUUGAUUCUGUGACACUGGUCACCUUAUUGCUUGCUUGCUAUGAGGUUGCUAAGUUUGAACUAUGUAUUCAACUUCAUGCAUAUUGUUACAAAUCGGGUUUGUGUCUGUACAAACCUGUUCUUAAUACCCUCAUUGCAGUUUAUGGUAAGUGUGGAUAUGCGACUUUAGCGCAUAAAGUGUUUGAUGAGAUGAUUUCUCGGAAUGCUGUCUCAUGGAAUACUAUGAUUUUAUCCUAUGGUGUAAAUGGCCAAGGAGAGAAAGCAGUAUCACUUUUCAAUGAAAUGGAGAAAUCUAGCGAGGAUCAAGACAGUGUGACUUAUUUGAACACAUUGCUAGCAUGUAGCCACUCUGGACUGGUGGAUGAUGGGAUGCUCGUCUUUAGAAGAAUGGUUAAUGACAAGGGAAUAAUUCCAUGCCCAGAGCAUGUCGGAUGCAUAGUUGAUAUGUUGGCAAGAGCUGGCCGCUUGGAGGAAGCAGCAGGAGUGGCUAGCUUGACUCACAAUAAAUUAGGAGCAAAUGCUUGGAAGGCUUUGAUGGGAGGAGGGCAUUUGCAUGGUGACAUGAAAUUUACUAAAGUUGCUGCAAAGAAGGUGCUCACCACGGAAUCAUUUGAUUAUGGGCAUGUUGUGUUACUUUCUAAUGCUUAUGCAUCAUCUGGCAAAUAUAGAGCUGCUGAAUCUGUCAGAUCCUGUUAUGCAAAGCGAAUUACAAGGAAAACUUUAGGGCUUAGUUCCAUUGAGAUAGUGCCGUACAGCAGAAGAUAGUAGAACAACUCUUACCUAGGGAAGAGAGAAGAUACAUCAAACAAUUAGUAUUCACUGUCUGUCUGUCUCAAGCUAUUGGAAUCUAUCUCAGGCAUAAGUUGAGUAUUCACUUUCAGGUUGCCAAGUCUCCUGUGGAAAAAGUAAAGCAUCAAGCAUGAUUUUCAAAUGCAAGUUGAUGAAAUAGAUGAUUGCCUUGGACCUUUUUCUUUAAAAGAAAAAUAUGCCUUGGUCUAUGGAACAUGACCAACGAUAUCACAUCUCAACUCACUAUUGCUCCAGGAAUCUCUAACACGUGAAUAUGGAUUCUAAUGUGAGAAUAAUGUAUGACAAAAACUCUGGAAGGUCAAGAGGUUUUGGGUUUGUGCACUUCUCAAACGAGUAUGAAGCUAAGUGCGCCAAGGAUGCUAUGGAUGGAAAGGUAAUGCUAGGACGACCAUUGCGGAUAAGUUUUGCUCUUGACAAGGUCCGUGGUGCUCCAGUUGUUGUUCCACGACUUUCCACGGUGAAAUGAAACUACUAAGAGAGAUGGUUUGGUCAUCAUAUGGACAUACCAGGAGGCUGGCGAAGCAUCCAUAGGCUAGUGUUUUGAACCUUCCCAAGUAGACGUCGGAGAUGAAGGCGCCUAGCAAUGGCGCAAAGUUAAGCGUACCGAAGAAUAUGUUGGUAAUAUUAGCUGCCUCAAUUUGCCCAAUGUUGAAGCGCUUCACAAGAUAGACCGUCAAAUUUGCUACCACUCCAAUUGUCGCAACCUUUUCAAAUGUCUCAGUUGCUACAUAGAUACAAUCAGAAAAGGGCAUCCAUUCAGUACAUUAUAAUGAGCAUUUUGAUUU